rnacentral:lncRNA from 13 species
GACGUAUGCUAAGAACGUUACAUAUGUCAUGUCCCUUAAUUCUUCUAUGAAAUAGUUUUUUUAUUUUUAUUUAUUUUGAGAUGGAGUCUUGCUCCUGUCACACAGGUUGGAGUAUGGUGGUGUGAUCUCAGUUCACUGUAACUUCCACAUCUCGGAUUCAAGCAAUUCUUCUUCAGCCUCCCGAGUAGCUGGGAUUACAGGUGACCAGCUGCUUCCUGGGAAGAGCACCCUAAGGCUGGGUGGCCACCAUCCUUUGCAUUGGCAGAGUGAGCCAGGAGGCCUAGGCACAGCCCGCUGAGUUUGCUGACAGCCAGCCUACCCUGGAGUUCACGAGCGGCCUCCUAGGAAGAUUGCGGAGCGAUGGACCAUUUCUCUUCAUCCGCAAAUUGAAAGGUCAAUACUUCGUGUCAGAAUGUGGGUCCUCAUGGAAAGAUGCCACCUUUCAUGAAUUUAUUCAGCAAGCAUUUGCUGAGUACGACAUGGCAGGCAUUCAUCUUAAGGAAGACGUCUUACACAUCCCUGCCUCCUGGAGCUUAAAUUUUAGUGUGGAAAGACACAUUAUAAUAAUGUGAAGGAGCAAGAUGGUUUAUGUUACGAAGGAUGCUCUGGAGGAAAUAAAGUAGAAAGUGUCUUUUGAAUAGGCA